CUGGGUGGCUUCGGCCGUAACCCCUUAACCAUUGUGAACAAAACAAGUUGCCCAGCUGGUGGCGGUGAGAACUGCCUGCCGGCGGCACAAAACUCUUCUAAUGUUAUCUCUGAGUUAUUUUAAAUAAGUUA
rnacentral:misc_RNA from 1 species